rnacentral:rRNA from 1 species
CAAUAGCGUAUAUUAAAGUUGUUGCAGUUAAAAAGCUCGUAGUUGGAUUUCUGGGAGGGUGCCAAUGUCCGCCGUCGUGCGUGCGCAGCGGCGCCCUUCCAUCCUUCUGUUAACGCCUCUUGGCAUUCAUUUGCUGGUGGCGGGCUCAGAUAUUUUACCUUGAGAAAAUUAGAGUGUUUCAGGCAGGCUAGGCCGGAAUACAUUAGCAUGGAAUAAUGGAAUAGGACUACGGUCUCGUUGUUGGUUUGAGGGACUGCAGUAAUGAUUAAUAGGGAUAGUUGGGGGCAUUAGUAUUUAAUUGUCAGAGGUGGAAUUCUCGGAUUUGUUAAAGACUAACUUAUGCGAAAGCAUUUGCCAAGGAUGUUUNCAUUA